rnacentral:rRNA from 1 species
UGGGGAAUAUUGGACAAUGGGGGGAACCCUGAUCCAGCCAUGCCGCGUGUGUGAAGAAGGCCUUAUGGUUGUAAAGCACUUUAAGCGAGGAGGAGGGUACUGGUAUUAAUACUACCAGCUACUGGACGUUACUCGCAGAAUAAGCACCGGCUAACUCUGUGCCAGCAGCCGCGGUAAUACAGAGGGUGCGAGCGUUAAUCGGAAUUACUGGGCGUAAAGCGCGCGUAGGUGGUUCGUUAAGUUGAAUGUGAAAGCCCCGGGCUCAACCUGGGAACUGCAUCCAAAACUGGGGAGGUAGAGUAGGGCAGAGGGUGGUGGAAUUUCCUGUGUAGCGGUGAAAUGAGUAGAUAUAGGAAGGAACACCAGUGGCGAAGGCGACCACCUGGGCUCAGACUGACACUGAGGUGCGAAAGCGUGGGGAGCAAACAGG